rnacentral:rRNA from 1 species
GGAGGAAAGCAGGGGAUCGCAAGACCUUGCGCUUUUGGAGCGGCCGAUGCCUGAUUAGCUUGUUGGUGAGGUAAAAGCUCACCAAGGCUUCGAUCAGUAGCUGGUCUGAGAGGACGACCAGCCACACUGGGACUGAGACACGGCCCAGACUCCUACGGGAGGCAGCAGUGGGGAAUUUUGGACAAUGGGGGCAACCCUGAUCCAGCCAUGCCGCGUGAGUGAAGAAGGCCUUCGGGUUGUAAAGCUCUUUCAGCCGGAACGAAACGGUUACGGUUAAUACCCGUGACUACUGACGGUACCGGAAGAAGAAGCACCGGCUAACUACGUGCCAGCAGCCGCGGUAAUACGUAGGGUGCGAGCGUUAAUCGGAAUUACUGGGCGUAAAGCGUGCGCAGGUGGUUUUGUAAGUCAGAUGUGAAAUCCCCGGGCUUAACCCUGGGAACUGCGUUUGAAACUACAAAGCUAGA